rnacentral:misc_RNA from 1 species
AAAGAGCUGUUUUCGCGGGAAAUGAAACAUGGGAAAAUGACAACAAACAGUGGAAGACCUAGAAGGAAAUGCGUUUCAGUUUCAUUUGUCGGCGACGAUGAUGUUAUUGGCCACAUUGUUGACGUCAACAAGAAAUAUGAGAGCAGGAAACAGAAAAAAAGAUUGUCAUUGCAACAUACCAGAAAGAACCAGUUAAAAUACACAGAGGAUAUAGAAAUCAUAGAGCAAAGUGACAGUGAUGAAGAAAAUUUUCAACCUUCAGUCUUUGAAGAGCAAGGAGAUGGCCAGGUUGCAGGAAGUGACGUAUUUCAGUUCAAAACAGCGAAAAAAUCAGGAAGCAUGGCACUUAAAGCUUCUGAGGCAAGGACGCCCAAAACUCCAAAAUCUAUUUUAAAGAACAGCAUUUCUGUGUCUUCCGGGAAGAGGAAAACAGAAAAUGUGACCCCAAGGAAAGGUGAGGGAACUCCAAAGAAAGGCACACAAGGGAAACUGACAAGGAAAGGGAGAAAACCAGAAGCUACAACUCCAUUCAAACUCAGGAAGCGGACAGAAUGUAAGGCUCUGGCACCACUCAUCAGUGGAUGUAAACUGUGGCACUGACCAUGUCAUAAAAUAAUUUCAUAUUUAAAAAAUUCUCUCUCUCUCUCUCUCUCUCUCUCUCUGAUGAAGCAACUGUUUUCAAAAGAAAAUGAUUUUGAUAAAAAAUGUGAGUGCUUAAAAAUUUGACAAUAUUUUUGAUAUUCUUUAAUGAAUGGUGCAUUCAGGUAGUUAACUUAAUUCAACAAUUAUCAUUUAAGACUAGAUCUUGAUUUUAUUUUCAGACAUUUGUGAUGAUGUGGAUGUGGACUCAGAUUCGAGUGAUACUGACAGCGAAGAUGGGGAGAGUGACACAGAAACCUCAGCCACCCCAGUCCCCCCCACCACCCCCCGGUCCCGGAGGAAGAUCCAGGAGGCUGCCGAUAUGCCACAUAUGGUGGAGGAAUAUUUUGACCUGCAUUCCCAAGGAGGCCUCUCAACAACAUCGGACAGGACGCUAGCCAAACUCGGGACAGGCAAAAUGGAUCAGGAGUCUCUCAAUGAACUUCUCAGAAGAGUUCCCAGCAAGCACAGCAGAGAGUGUCAGCAGAUGUACGAAGAACACAGAGAGCUAUUCCACAAGUGGAUGUUUUACAUGUGUAAUGGUUACAAUAUUUUGUUGCAUGGUCUUGGCUCCAAGAGAACCCUGCUUGAGGACUUCAGGAGGUCAGAGCUUAAGGAUCUGGAUCAUGUAGUUGUCAAUGGUUAUUUUCCAAGUUUGACUAUUAAACAUAUUUUGAAUACCAUAACAGAUGAAAUAUUGGAAGCAGAGGGCACCUAUAAGAGUCCUCUAGACCAAGUGGAGUUCAUCAAAUCCCAGUUUGAGACAAAAGAUUACAGAGACUUCUUUCUGGUUGUACACAACAUUGACGGAGUGAUGCUACGGCCAGAAAAGAUUCAGAACAUCCUGAGUCUGUUGAGUCAGAUCAGGGGCUUCCACAUUGUGGCUUCCAUUGAUCACAUCAAUGCACCACUCAUAUGGGACCAGACGAAGUGCAGCCGCUAUCGGUGGUUAUGGUACGAUGUGACUACAUACCUGCCAUAUACUGACGAGACUUCCUACGAGAACUCGCUGCUGGUACAGCAGACUGGGUCACUAGCCCUCAGCUCCAUGUCGCAUGUGAUGAAGAGCUUGACCACCAAUGCCAAACAGAUAUUCUUGUUGCUUGCCAAGCAUCAACUGGAAAAUAAGGACAGCAGUACUUACUUGGGUAUGUCUUUACAAGAUCUGUAUCAAAGAUGCCGAGAAGCUUUCCUGGUCAAUAGUGACUUAACACUGCGUGCUCAAUUAACGGAGUUCAGGGACCACAAGCUAAUCAAGUCUAAAAAGGGUUUCGAGGGAAUUGAAUACUUGGUAAUCCCAGUUGACAAUGCUACACUUACCGAGUUUACUGAGCAACAUGAAAGCAGUGUGUGAGAGGACGCAAUUGGACGAAGGUUCAUGGAAUUAAGAUAUAUGGCUGAUAUAUCCAACAAAGGACGCAAUUUGAAAUUUUGAGAGAGAAAAAAAUCUAUUAACGACACGAUGUACUCUUGCAACUGAUUGUAUUUAUUUAUUAAUUGAUUUGAUAUGCAAAUAAAAGUUUAUUUUGACAGCAAA